ensembl:misc_RNA
UUUUCAGCUUUAGAUUGAGGUCAGAGGCUGUCACGAAACUUUAGAUUCUGUGAUUGGUCCUAUGCAUCAAAUACAUGUUGGUCCAGUUUAUAAACAAAUAAAAACAUAAUUUUUAAAUUAAUGUCAACUUUGAAUUUGGGAUGUAUCCCAGACAUAUUAGUUGCCCUUACUUAUUUUUGGAAAUGUUUCUCUCAGCCGUCAGUGAAGCAAU